rnacentral:rRNA from 1 species
AAAUUGAAGAGUUUGAUCAUGGCUCAGAUUGAACGCUGGCGGCAGGCCUAACACAUGCAAGUCGAGCGGCAGCGGAAAGUAGCUUGCUACUUUGCCGGCGAGCGGCGGACGGGUGAGUAAUGUCUGGGAAACUGCCUGAUGGAGGGGGAUAACUACUGGAAACGGUAGCUAAUACCGCAUAACGUCGCAAGACCAAAGAGGGGGACCUUCGGGCCUCUUGCCAUCAGAUGUGCCCAGAUGGGAUUAGCUAGUAGGUGGGGUAACGGCUCACCUAGGCGACGAUCCCUAGCUGGUCUGAGAGGAUGACCAGCCACACUGGAACUGAGACACGGUCCAGACUCCUACGGGAGGCAGCAGUGGGGAAUAUUGCACAAUGGGCGCAAGCCUGAUGCAGCCAUGCCGCGUGUAUGAAGAAGGCCUUCGGGUUGUAAAGUACUUUCAGCGGGGAGGAAGGCGUUGAGGUUAAUAACCUCAGCGAUUGACGUUACCCGCAGAAGAAGCACCGGCUAACUCCGUGCCAGCAGCCGCGGUAAUACGGAGGGUGCAAGCGUUAAUCGGAAUUACUGGGCGUAAAGCGCACGCAGGCGGUCUGUCAAGUCGGAUGUGAAAUCCCCGGGCUCAACCUGGGAACUGCAUUCGAAACUGGCAGGCUAGAGUCUUGUAGAGGGGGGUAGAAUUCCAGGUGUAGCGGUGAAAUGCGUAGAGAUCUGGAGGAAUACCGGUGGCGAAGGCGGCCCCCUGGACAAAGACUGACGCUCAGGUGCGAAAGCGUGGGGAGCAAACAGGAUUAGAUACCCUGGUAGUCCACGCCGUAAACGAUGUCGACUUGGAGGUUGUGCCCUUGAGGCGUGGCUUCCGGAGCUAACGCGUUAAGUCGACCGCCUGGGGAGUACGGCCGCAAGGUUAAAACUCAAAUGAAUUGACGGGGGCCCGCACAAGCGGUGGAGCAUGUGGUUUAAUUCGAUGCAACGCGAAGAACCUUACCUACUCUUGACAUCCAGAGAACUUUCCAGAGAUGGAUUGGUGCCUUCGGGAACUCUGAGACAGGUGCUGCAUGGCUGUCGUCAGCUCGUGUUGUGAAAUGUUGGGUUAAGUCCCGCAACGAGCGCAACCCUUAUCCUUUGUUGCCAGCGGU